UUGAACGCUGGCGGCAUGCUUUACACAUGCAAGUCGAACGGCAGCGGGGGCUUCGGCCUGCCGGCGAGUGGCGAACGGGUGAGUAAUGCAUCGGAACGUGCCAUUGAGUGGGGGAUAACGUAGCGAAAGUUGCGCUAAUACCGCAUAUUCUGUGAGCAGGAAAGCAGGGGACCGCAAGGCCUUGCGCUCUUUGAGCGGCCGAUGUCAGAUUAGCUAGUUGGUGAGGUAAAGGCUUACCAAGGCGACGAUCUGUAGCGGGUCUGAGAGGAUGAUCCGCCACACUGGAACUGAGACACGGUCCAGACUCCUACGGGAGGCAGCAGUGGGGAAUUUUGGACAAUGGGGGCAACCCUGAUCCAGCCAUGCCGCGUGAGUGAAGAAGGCCUUCGGGUUGUAAAGCUCUUUCGGCCGGGAAGAAAUCGCAUGGGUGAAUACCCUGUGUGGAUGACGGUACCGGAACAAGAAGCACCGGCUAACUACGUGCCAGCAGCCGCGGUAAUACGUAGGGUGCGAGCGUUAAUCGGAAUUACUGGGCGUAAAGCGUGCGCAGGCGGUUUGGUAAGACAGGCGUGAAAUCCCCGGGCUUAACCUGGGAACUGCGCUUGUGACUGCCAGGCUAGAGUACGGCAGAGGGGGGUGGAAUUCCACGUGUAGCAGUGAAAUGCGUAGAGAUGUGGAGGAACACCAAUGGCGAAGGCAGCCCCCUGGGUCGAUACUGACGCUCAUGCACGAAAGCGUGGGUAGCAAACAGGAUUAGAUACCCUGGUAGUCCACGCCCUAAACGAUGUCAACUAGGUGUUGGGUGGGUAAAACCAUUUAGUACCGUAGCUAACGCGUGAAGUUGACCGCCUGGGGAGUACGGCCGCAAGGUUAAAACUCAAAGGAAUUGACGGGGACCCGCACAAGCGGUGGAUGAUGUGAUUAAUUCGAUGCAACGCGAAAAACCUUACCUACCCUUGACAUGCCAGGAACUUGCCAGAGAUGGCUUGGUGCCCGAAAGGGAGCCUGGACACAGGUGCUGCAUGACUGUCGUCAGCUCGUGUCGUAGGAUGUUAGGGUCAGUCCUGUCACGAGCGCAUCCUGAUCGUAUGCAAUCAAUUGGUGCCACUUUAACGGAACUGCGGGUGACAAACCUGGAGAGAAAGGUUGGGAAAUGAACGCUUCAAGAUUCUCUCCUCAUUUGC
rnacentral:rRNA from 1 species